rnacentral:rRNA from 1 species
UACGAAGGGGGCUAGCGUUGUUCGGAAUUACUGGGCGUAAAGCGCGUGUAGGCGGGUCUUUUAAGUCAGGGGUGAAAUGCCAAGGCUCAACCUUGGAACUGCCUUUGAUACUGGAGACCUUGAGUCCGGGAGAGGUGAGUGGAAUUGCGAGUGUAGAGGUGAAAUUCGUAGAUAUUCGCAAGAACACCAGUGGCGAAGGCGGCUCACUGGCCCGGAACUGACGCUGAGAUGCGAAAGCGUGGGGAGCAAACAGG